GGUCAUUUUUUAUUUUGGUGUCUUGUUUUAGAUAAGGUUUAGACUUUCUAAGUGAAUACACGACAAAGUAAAGCAAACCCAUAUGUUACCAUCAUUGGACCAAUAUCAUUUUAUACUGGAGAGAUAUCGUUUGGUCAUGGGUUUUAAGUCGAAACGGGGUCGACGAUAUAUGGCAGAUACCGAAUGUUUUUUAUAUGCCGAUGGUGCAGGAACUGUGCCUGUUUUCGUAUGUACGUCUAAUGGUCUGUCCAUCAGUUAACAAUUUCGUUUCCGCUCAGUAACUAAAGAAUAAUUUGACCUAUGAUACUCGAACUUCAGUUAAAUAUUGCUCAUGGGUUCCCAUUGAGUUGAGGUCAGUGGAUCAAAGGUCCAGGUCACAGUGACCCUUUAAGCUCAAAAUCGAUUUCUCGCAAUAUCUUAAUACUCCCUUGACCUGCAAUCCUCAAACGUAGCAGGUACAUUUGGCGCAGGGGUUUCCAGUAUAGUCCAGUAAAGCUAGAGAAAGGUUAGAACUAAUUGCAAAAGUUUGGUUUUUGGUGCAUGACGAAAGUACAUACUUAUAGCUAUUUCCAGAAAAAAAUCGCCGUCCAUAGGUGCUAGGGGAUUUUCUCUACGGGUCAUUAAACUUGACGUAAAAAUUUGCAUUGUUACAUAGAAUUCGGAUUUUUUUGAUGGCGCUAACUGUGCACCUUGGUGACGUCAUCGGGUAUAUGUCAACAAGUUACAGCCGCCAUUUUUUUUAAAACUCCAUGCAUCCUUUGGUUCGAAUUGCCAUUUUCCAAAAGAAUUAUCGAGAUGUGAACAAAGUUAGACUCUAGUUUCAUGGUAUGUGCCUAUAAGAUGGAUUGGUUGGAGGCAAGUACUUUUAUGUUGCUGUAGGUCUUUUCAAGGAUUUGUUCAGUUGUUGAGCCAGGUGGUAUUUGUUGAGGUGAUGCAUACUCUAAGCAUAAUGGCAGAAUCAAUGGACAUAUCAUCAAAAGAUGAAAGCUGCCCUAUCUGCGACGAAUUUUUAAAGAACGGAUCGCCCAUAGUUGUGAUACGUGAAAAGGGAGCAAAUAACAUCAACAGAGCCAGUGCACAAAGUCGAAUGUAACAGUGAAAUCUGGUGAUUCAGUUCAAAGAGACUGUAGAAGGGAUUUUAUAGACUUGAGAAUGAGAACUGUAAAAACUGAUAAUUAUAGUGGAUAUGCAUGUGACUCUUUGACAACAAGAUCCAGUUGUACAACUUUUGAUUUUAAAUCUAAUUGUUACUUCUGCACUCAUAAAUGUAAUAAAAUAUGUAGUGAAGUCCACAGAGUCGAACAAUUUAAUUUUACUGCAACUAUAAAAGAGUUAUGUAAUGUAAGAAAUGACUCGCGGGGUAAUGAGGUUCGUGCUAGGUUGGUAUCAGUCCUUGAUUUGCAGGCUGCUGAAGCAAUUUACCAUCAAGUGUGCAAUGUAAACUUUCGUACUUUAAGCAGUUGCCUGACAGGUUUGCAAAAGAUGAAAAAAAGCAAGAAAUCACCUGGAAGACCACAGUGCACAGAAUUGCUGGAAGGAUUUUAGGAUGUCAUUAACUACAUUGAAAGCAUUGAAGGGGCAGCACUAUUAGUCAAAGAAUUAGUUCAAGUCAUGGAAGAAACCUGUGGAGAGAGAGAGCUUACUCAAGUAAAUAUAUGAAAAAGAAAAUUAUUGAACAUUUUGGUGAUACAAUUACAUUUGUUUCUACUCAAGGCCAAGAAGACAAUAUCAUUAUGAAACAUACCGCAUCUGAUAUCUUAAGCAAAUUCACAAAAGAAAACUUUGGACUCUCAGAGGCAGAACAAAAACGUAAUAUUAUUUCAACAGCUGCAAAACUUAUUAAGUCUGAUAUUGCUGCUGUAGAUGCAUCAAAAACAUUUUAUCCUUCUGUUGGUAUUGUCCAGUCAGCAGAAAGGAACUACCAGACACAUUAGAUUUUCUGCUGUCGUCAAUGUUUUCAGGAAAGGACACUGAGAUAAAGAUUGCAGCGAAUGACCAGUCAGUUAUGCAGACCGAAGUCCUUAAUCGCACCAUUACAACUUGGUUUAGCAGUUCAGGUUCACCAUUUAUUUUCUUCCAGAUUUCUCGUAGAUGAACUUUACCAGAUGGGAUUUUCAUCUUCCUAAUCUGAGGUGCAACGUUUCCAAUCCAAUGCCGCUAUGUCACUAAAUGCUGUAUUCACAGGAUUUUUUCCAGGUCAGUUUCUUCGAUACGUUGCAGAUAAUGCAGACCACAACGUAUGUACCCUAGAUGGCCAUGGAACAUUCCACGGUAUGGGUAUGGUUGCUUGCUUGUCACCAGUAUCAAAUGUUGAGUUACCAAUUCCAAGAGCAGAUGUGUCAAUUACAGAUUUAUCCAGAAUAUCAAGCAUUCUAACACGAUCCGAUUCAUUUUCCUAUUAAACAAAGAAGGCAGAAAACAGAGAAUUAUUAUACAACAAAUCACUGUUCUGACGUCACAAUUAUUACGUCAUGGCGUCAAACGGCAUAGCGGCGCGCUGGAAAAGAAGCCGAUUGAAAGCGUGCAAAUAUUU
rnacentral:lncRNA from 1 species